rnacentral:tRNA from 1 species
CCGCCCGUCGACAGGUAACAUCACGAAAACCGCUUUCCUGAUGAGGAAUAAGGGAAUCGCAGGUUCGAAUCCUGCCAGGCGGGCCA